UACGGAGGGUCCAAGCGUUGUCCGGAAUCACUGGGUGUAAAGGGUGCGCAGGCGGGCCUGUAAGUCAGAGGUGAAAGCCACCGGCCUAACCGGUGAACUGCCUUUGAUACUGCAGGUCUUGAGUCCCGGAGAGGCUAUCGGAAUUCGUGGUGUAGCGGUGAAAUGCGUAAAUAUCACGAGGAACACCGGAUGCGUAAGCGGAUAGCUGGACGGGUACUGACGCUCAGGCACGAAAGCGCGGGGAGCGAACAGG
rnacentral:rRNA from 1 species